UCCCCACACUGAGCAGACCUCCUCCUGCUGGUCCAGAGGAGGGCUGGAUGAUGGAGGAGGAUGUGGACUGGCUGAAGCUGAAGGGACGGGAGGUGAAGGAGAAGGAGGAGGUGAAGGAAGAGGAGGAGGAAGAGGAGUUUCCAUGGCUACCUUGUCGUCAAAGUCGUCGUCACUGUCGUAGAGAUCAUCAUGACGAAGCCUCCACUCAUACUCCACGUGGACGUGAUGGUCAAACUGGUUGGAUUGGGCCUGCUGCAGCUGCACACACACACACACACACAGCUAACAGGUUGGACCUACCAGCAAGUCUGAAGUCCCAAGACUGUCCAGACUCAGAGACUGGAUCCUGGAGACGUGGACCCCCAUCUCCCUGUGGAUCCCUGAACACUCGAUACAGAUAUGACCUGGAGCUCCACAGUCACAGCAGCUGUUGUUUCCUGGCAUCCGUCUGAUGUCGUCAGUGAUGGCCCGGGUCUGAGCGACAGCUGCUGGGGAAAUAAGAGAGAACUGCACAGGAAAUUCAACAAAAACUGAACUGAAAAUAAAUACGUGAGGAAGACUCAGGCUCCAGCUGGUUAUGAUGAUAUUAUGAGAGCAGAGACCCACCAAAACUGAAGAUCAACAAGUGUCUCCAGGUCUGCUUGUUCAGUUGCUGCAGUUUGGACAGAAACACCAACAUCACCUUACAGACCAACAGGUGUCACCACUUUGUCCAUGACAUUGUCCAUGAUUGGAGUGACAUUGUUGAGGAUGAGGGAGACAUUUUCCACAAUCAGAGACAUUGUCCAGGAUCACAGAGUCUUCGUACAGAGUCAGAGAAGAAGUUUAUUCCAGGUAAUUCACAAUCAGCUUUACAACUUAGAUAAACAGCGUUACAGAGCACUGGCAUUAAAUUG